UGAAAAUACUAAUUUCUAGCGUUUGACGAAGUCAUUAGCGUGAAAUUCACUUUCUGCAUUAACACAUUGUGUGUUUGAGUUAUGCACAGGUGACUGUUGAUUAAUGAGAACAGGUGGACAGCAGGUGCUGUGAGAAGACGAAAGGAGGACUGAAGGUUGAUUCUUCAUUCGAGGCCUUGCUUCCAGGCACGACAGCUACUACGGAAGAACUUCUCGAGAUUUUCGUUGUUUAAUUUUAGCAAGAAAUCCCAGAGGAGAUAUUGUUUGCAUUGGAUUUUAGUGUUCAACAAAGGUAACCAUUCGAGGUCACUGUCGCAAGUUUCAAGGUUGUCUUGUAGGCAACGAAAAGGACACAUCGGCGGAAUUCUGGAGGCUGACGCAGUGAUGGACAAGCAUGGAGCUUUGGAAUUUUGCCCAUACGUCGUAUCCUUAAACACAAUGGUUAAGUAUGAACAGGUCACAUUUUGCUGCAAGGAUUAGGUACAAGAUACCAGGUACAAGUUGCUUACACAUGUGCAUGUAUUUUGACAAGUUUGUUAUUGAUGUUGUAGAUUGCCUACGGAGAAGUUAUUUGUAAGAUGAUUGAGUAAGAAUACCAAUUUUGGUCACAGAGAUGCAAAGAUCGGAGUAUUUGCUUAGUCUAUCCUUUGAAAAGUGUACAGAAUUGGACAAGAAGUUAUGUUCAGCUCGAAGGCGUGUUUGCUGCAAGUGCUAAUAAAAUACACGUGGAGUAUUUACUGUACUGUUGAUUUAAUCUGUAGAUUUGUUUUUGAGAGUGAGUUUGAGCAAUAUGCCUCAUUCUUGGAAAUUCAGCUAUUUUUGCAGGCUGAUUGAGAAGUGCUUUAGGCACUUGGCCGUUAGGAAACAGUUGUUUCUGGUUGUAUCAGAGUAUUGUAUCUCUGGAGGUACCUGGCCUCGGUGUUUUGCGGCAUGGUUUAUCACUUUGGUAUGAAUUUUUUUUUGCAGGUACGGGGCCAGUAAAUGAAGAAGUGAUUUCUUGUUUAUGUUUGCACGAACAUGUUUUCAAUGUUUUUGUUUCCAUUGAAGGUUGAGUAUACAGUACAACAAGGUUUACAUGUAUUUAGAUAUUUUGUUGUAGUUUGUUUACAAGUGCAACAGCACAGCAAAUAUAUGUUCAAGACAGAAUGUGUAUCAAUUGAUAUGGUUCGCUUUUGUGCUAAUUUGAUAUUAACUAUUAUAUUCCGUUCCACAUGUUCUGAACGAUUGACUUUGGAAGGACAUGGAUAGAAUCCAGCAUCCAUAUCAGAUGUCGUUAGCGGACAACUUGAGCUACCGUCGGUAGAUUUGCCAACCAGAGCUCGAGGGGACAGUGGAAGAUCGUCUCUUUUCCAGCAGAGCCUUUAUAUGUCGCUUUGAUUUGCUUAAAGUUAUGCAGAAUACUGUUUCUCUUGCAGCGGUUGAGAAAGCUUUUUAGGUGAGCGCAUUUUCAGGCAGGAUUCGUUUCACCUACAAUUAAUAAGGUUGCAGGUAAUGCAUUUAAACGUAUGCUAGGGAAGGAGGAAAGAGGUGAUGACACCAGAUUAGUAAACUGAUGACUGUACAUGGACACAAAGAUGAUUUGGAUACUGUGAGUACAUUGACCUUGAUUUUUGUUUCGUAUGCACGUUUUCGCAGGUUUGAUGAAGCAACCAGGAUAUUGUGUUUGUAGAUUAACUUUUCUUUAUUCAUUCCAGUAAAAUUGGUCAGUACAGAGGAGGUAAUCACAAGUUCCUUUUGCCAGGACUGAUAAGAUUACUUACCCGGUUGCUAUGUUGGAGAAGUAUUGUAAGUUAUGUCACACUGAUGUCACUUCAGAUCUUUAUCUCAGUCUUUAGGGGUCUAAGUAAUUCCAGAUCUGGGCUUAAAGCUGAGACCUUCAGGAAAACUGCCCUAUACUAGUGCUAAGAGAACUAGUAAUGUGUUUGUUAAAGACUGUUGAUGAUGUUUCAGUUUUCGGUUGACAUUUUUGAGAGCAGGCGGAGCCACUGCAGCUGCGUGUGAGGGCAUCCCAGACAGAAUGUUCAAAAGGCAUUGAAAAUGGACGAGCGAAGGACGGUUACAUUAGAGAAAUUUUGAGAGCGAGAUUGGCAGUUUCUUUUUCUUUAGGUGUUUAGGUACUUUGAAUUAAUAUUUCAAUGUUUCCCUUCUUUUCCCGUUCUUUGAUCGAUCGAAAAAUAGAUGCCGUGCCUGUAGCAGACGGCUCCCCCUAAACAGUGUGUGGUGUUUUACUGUGUUGGCAUCUUGGGGAGGGAGAUACGAGGUGGUUUAAUGCAGAAAAUACUAAUUUCUAGCGUUUGACGAAGUCAUUAGCGUGAAAUUCACUUUCUGCAUUAACACAUUGUGUGUUUGAGUUAUGCACAGGUGACUGUUGAUUAAUGAGAACAGGUGGACAGCAGGUGCUGUGAGAAGACAAAAGGAGGACUGAAGGUUGAUUCUUCAUUCGAGGCCUUGCUUCCAGGCACGACAGCUACUACGGAAGAACUUCUCGAGAUUUUCGUUGUUUAAUUUUAGCAAGAAAUCCCAGAGGAGAUAUGGUUUGCAUUGGGCUCUGGUGUACGUCCCCUAUUUUUUUGGCCUUUGUCAUGGAAGGUUUUUUUGGGGGUUGCGUAGCCGGCAAACAAUUUAGUCAGUUUGACUUGAUCAUUUCUUCCGAGUUCAUAUUUGUGUCGACUGUUAUUACAGUAAUCUCGGAGUGUUUUCAUGUGUUGAAAGUUGUACUUUGCUGAUUGUUUCGAUAUACUAUUGUGUAUUCAGCGGAAGGAAAAAAUUGAGUUUUUCAUUAAAUUCCAUACCGUGGCGUGCCUGUAGCAGACGGCUCCCCCUAAA